rnacentral:rRNA from 1 species
CGAACGCUCGUCUUCGGACGGGAGUGGCAGACGGGUGAGUAACACGUGGGAACGUACCCUUUGGUUCGGAAUAACGCAGGGAAACUUGCGCUAAUACCGGAUACGCCCUUUUGGGAAAGGUUUACUGCCGAAGGAUCGGCCCGCGUCUGAUUAGCUAGUUGGUGGGGUAACGGCCUACCAAGGCGACGAUCAGUAGCUGGUCUGAGAGGAUGAUCAGCCACACUGGGACUGAGACACGGCCCAG